CUCAGAACGAACGCUGGCGGCGUGGCUAAGACAUGCAAGUCGAACGGACCAUUAAUUUAUUAAUGGUUAGUGGCGAAAGGGUUAGUAAUGAAUAGGUAACGUACCUUGUGCUUCAGGAUAGCGUCAGUUGCUUCGGCAACUUUCCGAAAGGGGCGGUAAUACUGAAUAAUAUCACCUGUCGAUAGGCAGAUGAUCAAAGAUUUAUCGGCGUAAGAGCGGCCUAUUUCCUAUCAGCUUGUUGGUGAGGUAACAGCUCACCAAGGCUAAGACGGGUAGCGGGACUGAGAGGUUGACCCGCAACAUCGGGACUGAGACACUGCCCGGACCUCCACGGAGGGCUGCAGUAACGAAUAUUGCGCAAUGGGCGAAAGCCUGACGCAGCGACGCCGCGUGUAGGAGGAAGUCCUUCGGGAUGUAAACUACUGUCAGGGUGAAGAAAGUAUGCUCCGGCAUAUUGAUCUAACCCAGAGGAAGUCACGGCUAACUUCGUGCCAGCAGCCGCGGUAAGACGAAGGUGGCUAGCGUUGUUCGGUAUCACUGGGCUUAAAGCGUAUGCAGGCGGAAUAGUAAGCGUCAUGUGAAAUCCCUCAGCUUAACUGAGGAAUUGCAUGGCGAACUGCUGUUCUUGAGGCAAGUAGGGGUGCAUAGAACUCUUGGUGGAGCGGUGGAAUGCGUAGAUAUCAAGAGGAAUGCCGAUGGAGAAAUCAGUGCACUGGGCUUGUCCUGACGCUCAG
rnacentral:rRNA from 1 species